AUUGAACGCUGGCGGCGGGCCUAACACAUGCAAGUCGAGCGUGCGGCGGACGGGAGAGUAAUGUCUGUGGAUCUGCCCGCUUGUGGGGGUUAACUUCUGGAAACGGUUGCUAUUACCGCUUACUAUCGGAUGAACCCCUAUGGGAUUAGCUAGUUGGUGGGGUAAAGGCUCACCUGGGCGACGAUCUCUAGCUGGUCUGGGAGGAGGAUCAGGCACACUGGGACUGAGACACGGCACAGACGCCUACGGGAGGUAGGAGUGGGGAAUAUUGCAGAAGGGGCGCAAGCCUGAUGAAGCCAUGCCGCGUGUAUGAAGAAGGCCUUAGGGUUGUAAAGUACUUACAGCGGGGAGGCGUUACCCGGAGAAGAAGCGCCGGCUAACUCCGUGCCAGCAGCCGCGGUAAUAC
rnacentral:rRNA from 1 species